rnacentral:rRNA from 1 species
UACGGAAGGGCCUAGCGUUGUUCGGAAUUACUGGGCGUAAAGCGCAUGUAGGCGGACUUGAAAGUUAGAAGUGAAAUCCCUGAGCUCAACCUAAUAAUUGCUUUUAAAACUUUUGUUCUGGAAUUCUGGAGAGGAAAAAGGAAUUUCCAGUGUAGAGGUGAAAUUCGUAAAUAUCACACAAAAUACCAAUUGCGAAGGCAGAUCUCUAACAAUAUACUGACGCUCAGGGACGAAAGCGCGGGUAGCGAACAGGAUUAAAUACCCUGUUAGUCCACGCCGUAAACGAUGGAUACUAGCUGUAUGUCUACCUUAAGCAGAUGUGUGGCUAAGCGAAAGUGAUAAGUAUCCCACCUGGGGAGUACGAUCGCAAGAUUGAAACUCAAAGGAAUUGACGGGGGCCCGCACAAGCGGUGGAGUCAUGUGGUUUAAUUCGAUGAUACGCGAGGACCCCUACCAGGUCUUACAUGUAACGGGUCAGAUCUAGAGAUAGAUCCUUCUUCGGGCUCACUGCAACAGGCGGCACGGGUGUCUUCACAUCGCGCCGCGAGGGAUCAGGGUAAGUCCUAUACCGCGCGCACCCCCCAUCGUUAGUUCCCACCGCGUAAUGUCGGGCACUCUAACGAAACUGCCGGUGCAAACCGUGAGGAAGGUGGGGAUGACGUCAAAUCAUCACGGCCCUUACGUCCUGGGCUACACACGUGCUACAAUGCUCGGUACAGAGAGCAGCCACUCCGCAAGUAGGAGCAAAUCUCUAAAGCGCGAUCUCAGGUCGGAUCGGAGUGUUCAACUUGACUCCGUGAAGCGGGGAUUGCUAGUUAUCAGCUAUCAGCCGUGAUGCGGUGAAUACGUUCCCGGGCCU